rnacentral:rRNA from 1 species
AUUGAACGCUGGCGGCAGGCUUAACACAUGCAAGUCGAGCGGGCGAGGUUGCUUCGGUAACUGAGCUAGCGGCGGACGGGUGAGUAAUGCUUAGGAAUCUGCCUAUUAGUGGGGGACAACAUUCCGGAAGGAAUGCUAAUACCGCAUACGUCCUACGGGAGAAAGCAGGGGAUCUUCGGACCUUGCGCUAAAUGAUGAGCCUAAGUCGGAUUAGGUAGUUGGUGGGGUAAAGGCCUACCAAGGCGACGAUCUGUAGCGGGUCUGAGAGGAUGAUCCGCCACACCGGGACUGAGACACGGCCCAGACUCCUACGGGAGGCAGCAGUGGGGAAUAUUGGACAAUGGGCGGAAGCCUGACCCAGCCAUGCCGCGUGUGUGAAGAAGGCCUUUUGGUUGUAAAGCACUUUAAGCGAGGAGGAGGCUACCUGGAUUAAUACUCUAGGAUAGUGGACGUUACUCGCAGAAUAAGCACCGGCUAACUCUGUGCCAGCCGCCGCAGUAA